UGUCCGCAUCCGUAUUUCCACACCGCGGCCCCCGCAAAAUAAGAUGGAACAUGGCCUAUUCUUGUCUGCAAUUGUGGACAAGAAUAGGCAUUUCUAUCAUAGGGAACUAUCAAAAUGCGAAACGCACGCAGCUGGUAUCCAUGUUUUGCGGACAUUUUGUGGACCGCAA